ACUAACUUUCUAAAAUUGGAGAUAAAACCAUUAAGACAAAUACAAAAAAUGUGAUGCAAAGGCUGGACAUCAAUCCCUCUUCUUUUAGCCUUCUACAAAUGGUCCGGUCUGACACAACAAUUACAGCUUUAUGGAUAAGCUUAGUCAAUAAGUUUAGUGGCUUUUUUUCUGUUUUCCAGGCAGAUAAAUCUGAUUAUACUGUGUGCUCUUGGUGGUUUCUUGCGUUUAGAAGGUGGUCUCCUUAGACCAAACUCUUCCCCUGUAUAAAUUCUUUUUCUUACUUGCAUUACGGUUUGGUAAGAAACCUUUUGCGUUGGGUGAGAAACCUUUGGUUGUUGACCAAUGGUUUAUAAUCAAAAUUUAAUAUGGCUGACGGUAAAGGUAAAGAGAAAU